GAACGCACCUUGCGCUCCUUGGUAUUCCGAGGAGCAUGCCUGUUUGAGUGUCAUUAAAUUCUCAACCUAACACCUGUUUUGCAAUGGGUUUUGUUAGGCUUGGAUAUGGGGGCUUGCAGGUCCGCUCUUUUGUGGUCUGCUCCUCUGAAAUGCAUUAGUGGGUUUGUGCCCCUCAUCUAUUGGUGUGAUAAUUAUCUACGCCGUGGGUGAUGGAUUGGCCAUCAAUGAACCUGCUCAUAACCGUCCGUCUCGGACAACUUUGAUCAUUUUGACCUCAAAUCAGGUAAGACUACCCGCUGAACUUAAG
rnacentral:misc_RNA from 1 species